rnacentral:rRNA from 1 species
GAUGAACGCUGGCGGCGUGCCUAAUACAUGCAAGUCGAGCGAACAGACGAGGAGCUUGCUCCUCUGACGUUAGCGGCGGACGGGUGAGUAACACGUGGAUAACCUACCUAUAAGACUGGGAUAACUUCGGGACACCGGAGCUAAUACCGGAUAAUAUAUUGAACCGCAUGGUUCAAUAGUGAAAGACGGUUUUGCUGUCACUUAUAGAUGGAUCCGCGCCGCAUUAGCUAGUUGGUAAGGUAACGGCUUACCAAGGCAACGAUGCGUAGCCGACCUGAGAGGGUGAUCGGCCACACUGGAACUGGGACACGGUCCAGACUCCUACGGGAGGCAGCAGUAGGGAAUCUUCGGCAAUGGGCGAAAGCCUGACGGGGCAACGCCGCGUGGGUGAGGAAGGUCUUCGGAUCGUAAAACUCUGUUAUUGGGGAAGAACAAAUGUGUAAGUAACUAUGCACGUCUUGACGGUACCUAAUCAGAAAGCCACGGCUAACUACGUG